AAUCAACGCUGGCGGCGCGCUUAACACAUGCAAGUCGCACGAGAAAGGGGAGCAAUCCCUGAGUAAAGUGGCGUACGGGUGAGUAACACGUGGAUCAUCUACCUUUUAGUGGGGAAUACCCCGGGAAACUGGGGACAAUACCGCAUAAGCUCGUGAGAGGAAAGCCGAAAGGCGCUGAAAGAGGAGUCCGCGGCUGAUUAUGCUAGAUGGCGGGGUAAUGGCCCACCAUGGCGAAGAUCGGUAGCCGGCCUGAGAGGGCACACGGCCACA
rnacentral:rRNA from 1 species